rnacentral:rRNA from 1 species
GCAUAUCAAAAAGCGGAGGAAAAGAAACCAACAGGGAUUGCCUUAGUAGCGGCGAGUGAAGCGGCAAAAGCUCAAAUUUGAAAUCUGGCUCUUUCAGAGUCCGAGUUGUAAUUUGAAGAAGGUAUCUUUGGGUCUGGCUCUUGUCUAUGUUUCUUGGAACAGAACGUCACAGAGGGUGAGAAUCCCGUGCGAUGAGAUGAUCCAGGCCUAUGUAAAGUUCCUUCGAAGAGUCGAGUUGUUUGGGAAUGCAGCUCUAAGUGGGUGGUAAAUUCCAUCUAAAGCUAAAUAUUGGCGAGAGACCGAUAGCGAACAAGUACAGUGAUGGAAAGAUGAAAAGAACUUUGAAAAGAAGUGAAAAAGUACGUGAAAUUGUUGAAAGGGAAGGGCUUGAGAUCAGACUUGGUAUUUUGUAUGUUACUUCUUCGGGGGUGGCCUCUACAGUUUAUCGGGCCAGCAUCAGUUUGGGCGGUAGGAGAAUUGCGUUGGAAUGUGGCACGGCUUCGGUUGUGUGUUAUAGCCUUCGUCGAUACUGCCAGCCUAGACUGAGGACUGCGGUUUAUACCUAGGAUGUUGGCAUAAUGAUCUUAAGUCGCCCGUCUUGAAACACGGACC